rnacentral:rRNA from 1 species
UACGUAGGGUGCAAGCGUUGUCCGGAAUUAUUGGGCGUAAAGAGCUCGUAGGCGGUUUGUCGCGUCUGCUGUGAAAACUCGGGGCUUAACUCCGGGCCUGCAGUGGGUACGGGCAGACUAGAGUGCGGUAGGGGAGACUGGAAUUCCUGGUGUAGCGGUGAAAUGCGCAGAUAUCAGGAGGAACACCAAUGGCGAAGGCAGCUCGCUGGAACGGUACUGACGCUGAGGCGCGAAAGCGUGGGGAGCAAACAGG